GACGAACGCUGGCGGCGUGCUUAACACAUGCAAGUCGAACGGUAAGGCCCUUCGGGGUACACGAGUGGCGAACGGGUGAGUAACACGUGGGUGAUCUGCCCUGCACUUCGGGAUAAGCCUGGGAAACUGGGUCUAAUACCGGAUAGGACCACUGCCUGCAUGGGUGGUGGUGGAAAGCUUUUGCGGUGUGGGAUGGGCCCGCGGCCUAUCAGCUUGUUGGUGGGGUGAUGGCCUACCAAGGCGACGACGGGUAGCCGGCCUGAGAGGGUGACCGGCCACACUGGGACUGGGAUACGGCCCAGACUCCUACGGGAGGCAGCAGUGGGGAAUAUUGUACAAUGGGCGCAAGCCUGAUGCAGCGACGCCGCGUGAGGGAUGACGGCCUUCGGGUUGUAAACCUCUUUCAGCACCGACGAAGCGCAAGUGACGGUAGGUGCAGAAGAAGGACCGGCCAACUACGUGCCAGCAGCCGCAUAA
rnacentral:rRNA from 1 species